CAUGUCCCUAUGAUGGCAAUGCAGGUAGAAAGUGGUGAUCUCAUUGCAUAUGGCCUUAUUCCAGAGUUUGUUGGAAGGUUUCCUGUUGUGGCUAUCUUAUCAGCUUUGAGUGAAGACCAAUUAGUUCAGGUUCGCACAAAGCCGAAAAAUGCUCUCGGUAAACAGUACAAGAAGACGUUCUAGACGAAUAAUGUUGAAUUACUGUUUACAGAUAAUGCCUUGAAAUUAAUUGCUAAGAAAGCAUUGGUAAAGAACACUGGUGCACGGGGUUUAAGAGCUCUACUGGAGAAUAUACUGAUCGAAGCAA